UACGGAGGGUGCAAGCGUUAAUCGGAAUUACUGGGCGUAAAGGGUGCGUAGGCGGUUGUUUAAGUCUGUUGUGAAAUCCCCGGGCUCAACCUGGGAAUGGCAAUGGAUACUGGGCAGCUAGAGUGUGUCAGAGGAUGGUGGAAUUCCCGGUGUAGCGGUGAAAUGCGUAGAGAUCGGGAGGAACAUCAGUGGCGAAGGCGGCCAUCUGGGACAACACUGACGCUGAAGCACGAAAGCGUGGGGAGCAAACAAG
rnacentral:rRNA from 1 species